rnacentral:misc_RNA from 1 species
GAUUGGGCAUUUUUCAGAGCGGAAGGCGGCGGGGCUGUUGAAGACGAUCGUCGGGGUUAUUCAGGCGUGUCACUCGCUGGGGGUUAUGCAUCGGGAUCUGAAGCCGGAGAAUUUUCUGUUUGCGGGAGUGGAGGAGGAUGCGGCGCUGAAGGCUACUGAUUUCGGGCUCUCGGUUUUCUACAAGCCAGGUGAAAUGUUCUCUGAUGUGGUUGGGAGUCCCUACUAUGUCGCGCCUGAGGUACUGCGUAAAUAUUAUGGGCCUGAAUCUGAUGUAUGGAGUGCUGGAGUCAUCUUGUACAUUUUAUUGAGUGGUGUUCCACCUUACUGGGCAGAAACUGAAUCAGGAAUAUUCAGGCAGAUUUUACAAGGGCGCUUGGAUUUUGAAUCCGAGCCAUGGCCCAGUAUUUCUGAAAGUGCUAAAGACUUGAUACGUAAUAUGUUGAAU